rnacentral:rRNA from 1 species
CCUUAGUAGCGGCGAGUGAAGCGGCAAAAGCUCAAAUUUGAAAUCUGGUACUUUCAGUGCCCGAGUUGUAAUUUGAAGAAGGUAUCUUUGGGUCUGGCGCUUGUCUAUGUUUCUUGGAACAGAACGUCACAGAGGGUGAGAAUCCCGUGCGAUGAGAUGAUCCAGACCUAUGUAAAGUUCCUUCGACGAGUCGAGUUGUUUGGGAAUGCAGCUCUAAGUGGGUGGUAAAUUCCAUCUAAAGCUAAAUAUUGGCGAGAGACCGAUAGCGAACAAGUACAGUGAUGGAAAGAUGAAAAGAACUUUGAAAAGAGAGUGAAAAAGUACGUGAAAUUGUUGAAAGGGAAGGGCUUGAGAUCAGACUUGGUAUUUUGUAUGUUACUUCUUCGGGGGUGGCCUCUACAGUUUAUCGGGCCAGCAUCAGUUUGGACGGUAGGACAAUUGCGGUGGAAUGUGGCACGGCCUCGGUUGUGUGUUAUAGCCACUGUCGAUACUGCCAGUCUAGACUGAGGACUGCGGUUUUAUACCUAGGAUGUUGGCAUAAUGAUCUUAAGUCGCCCGUCUUGAAACACGGACCAAGGAGUCUAACGUCUAUGCGAGUGUUUGGGUGUUAAACCCGUACGCGGAAUGAAAGUGAACGUAGGUGGGAGCUUUGUAUGAAGUGCACCAUCGACCGAUCCUGAUGUCUUCGGAUGGAUUUGAGUAAGAGCAUAGCUGUUGGGACCCGAAAGAUGGUGAACUAUGCCUGAAUAGGGUGAAGCCAGAGGAAACUCUGGUGGAGGCUCGUAGCGGUUCUGACGGCAAAUCGAUCGUCGAAUUUGGGUAUAG